GGGCUCUUAGCUCAGUGGUAGAGCGCCUCGUUCGCAACGAGGAGGCCGCGGGUUCAAUCCCCGCAGAGUCCA
rnacentral:tRNA from 1 species